rnacentral:rRNA from 1 species
UACGGAGGGGGCUAGCGUUGUUCGGAAUUACUGGGCGUAAAGCGCACGUAGGCGGAUAUGUCAGUCAGGGGUGAAAUCCCGGGGCUUAACCUCGGAACUGCCUUUGAUACAGCAUAUCUUGAGUCCGAUAGAGGUGGGUGGAAUUCCUAGUGUAGAGGUGAAAUUCGUAGAUAUUAGGAAGAACACCGGUGGCGAAGGCGGCCCACUGGAUCGGUACUGACGCUGAGGUGCGAAAGCGUGGGGAGCAAACAGG